CAUGGCAAACAGUUCCCCCUGGAAAACUACAUUUUCAAUUGUUUGGGUUGUAAGAAAACUAAACUUCUGGCAAAUACUUCUGCAGAGUUCCAAAAAACUUUUCUUUUUCCAGAUCGUCAGUCGUUGAUAAUGAAAAGUAAAAAAAUUUCUAGCAGAAUCUUCCACUUGUCCUCAUUGUUUCCAACCCCCUUCCUCCAACUUAUUGCUAUCCACAGUAUCUGGUCCCAUCUCUACC
rnacentral:lncRNA from 1 species